rnacentral:lncRNA from 1 species
AUUUUUAGGUUAAAAUGUUCAUAUAAUUAAUUUAGGAUAGUCUACAUAAUUUUUUUUUUUUAAAGUUAAUUUUAAAAAAAAAUUAGCCUUAAUUCAUUUUUUGAUAAUCUGGGGCUAAAAUUUUAGGCCAAAAGGGUUGGAGUAGAAAAGCUGUUUCUAGGCUAAAACCUAAAUUUUGUGGGCUAAAUAUUUUUAGGUUUUAAGUCAGGAUUGGAGAUGGUCUAAGUAGAGUGAUUCUACCGAUAUUUGAAAUAAAAUUUGUGCUUUUGUGAAAGAUGUUCUGUAAGUAGCGUGAUUCUGCAAAUGUUUGACAUAAAAUUUGUCGAUAUUUUCGUCGAAAUAUUCGAAAAAUCAAGAACCUGCGAGAUAUAAUGAGUAUCGACAAUAAUUAUUGAUCCAUUACGUAAAUUUUGUCAUAAUCCAUUGCAGAUUUGGAACUUUUGAAAAAAAUUUCCUCUGGUUUUGACUAAAUCAAAAUGAGUUGAUGUACACAUACCUUCCAUAAUUUUCAUCGAAGACAACUAACAUCGACAUUUUCAUAAAUUUGCGUAAUGGUAUUAUCACAUGUACUAAUAUUUUAAACACGGUCUAUAGAUGUUUUGGGCUUGAACUAGUCUCUAUGGAAUGAGGUAGAUUUUUUUUUUAGUACAUCGAUAUUUUUACAUUAAGAGAGGAGGGAGUUCGGCAAAGUCACAUAAUGAGCAACCUAAUUUGGUAUCGAAUUCGCCAUCCACGAUAUUCGAACCUAAGACCUCUCAUUACCAAGUGAAGAAGAAUAUCAUCAGACCGUAGUAUUGAGUGGCUAGGCAGAUUUUUUUGUUUAUUAACGAAGUUCGAAAGUGAAACAAAAAUUGUUGAUAAGGACUUCAUAAACAAGCUAUUGGAAGCCUUAUGUUUAUGCGUCUAGAUUGCAUUAUUGGUUACUUAUUUAGCAGCAUAUAUUUGGUGUGGACAAGCAAGCUAGGCAUAGAACUUAAUUAGAUGUUGUCCAUAAUGGAUGCACUGUAACCGUUGUCAUACUGCCUGCUCCAGAGCAUAACUCCUCCGUACUUGGGCGAAUUCUUAAUCGUUGGAAGAACUUGUGACUUGAGAGCGUCAGCAGGAAUAAAUCCGCCGCUCGGAGCGGCCUCAGGAGCUGCUGGUAAACCCAAGAACACCUCGCUGGCCGGAACCGAGGCCCAUUGGUUCCAACUGCUCAAAAGAGCGUUGGCAUUACCGUCUGAAUACUGGCAUGGGGGGUUGUUGUAGAACUGAACCCAAACGUAGUCAAAUAAGCCAGUUUGGAUUGCGCCGUCUAGGUGAGCAUCCGGGAUUGGACAUUGUGGAGCUGCGGCUAAAUAGACCGUUUUUGCCUGUGUGUUGUGCCCGUUGAGUAACCUGGCGAGCUCAUCAUAGAACUGCCCACCACCUAUAACAAUGGCGAAAUCAACGCCGUCCAAAACAGCGUCCCCAAGCGGGCGCGAUGCUGACUGACCACCUAGGAAGUUGUUCCAGAUGUAAUCAGCAACUUGCCUUGCAUCAUCAGCUGAAGUGAGAUUGUAACUUCCGACAGCCCCUCCAAUCGAGAGGAGGACUUUUAUGUUUUGGGAUUGGCAAGCUCUGAUGUCGGCGCUCAGCCCCGUGCAAGUACUACUGCUGGGGUCGCAGUGUCCGGCGAGGUUGAGGGCAGGGACCUGGUUGUUUCCGAAAGUCAUGAGGAAAGCUAUGUUAACAAACUGGUAGUUGCCUGAGUUGCAAGCAUCUACUAGGGUUCCUUCGUUGCCGUUUUGUCCCCAAUACGUUGCGAUUCCGGCGGCUUGAGAGGACUUGCAUGAAGAAAUGAGAAUCAAGAGGAACAGCGUUAGGGCUAGGGUUUGUGUUUUGGUUGCCAUUUUGUAUGUGUUUUUUUUGUUGUUGCUCAAAGUGCUUGGGAGGGUACAUGUAUUUAUAGGUGCAGGGGACUUGUCGGUGAAGGUUUAGGGGAAGAGAAGUAUGACAGACGUGUCUUGCAGGUACAAAAUGGAUGCCAGUCUUCUGCUUGGAUCCGCGUCAACCAAGUUAGGGCCUGUUUAGUCCAAGUUUCACUUCACAACUUAGAAAUUUGUGAAUUAAGUUAGGUCGUGUUGCACGUUCUUUUUUCAAAAACCACUCAUAAGCGCUCUUAAUAUUUUUCGUAAGAAUGCAAGUGUUUUUAGAAAAAACACUCGAGAUGCUUAGCGUGUGAUUUUUCUAGAAAGCACUUUUAAGUGUUUUUUCAACCUAAAACACUUCAAAACCCUUUUAGUUGUUUUAAAGACACUUCCAACAGACACAAAAUGAAAAAUUACUUCCAAAGAGAAAUAUAGCAUGCUAUUUGAGAGAUUCCUAAACUAAAUAGCUAUUAAGCGUGACCUUAACCACUUAAUUAGGUGAAAUAAAAUAUCAAAUUUGACAAACAAUCUGAUGAACGCCAUAGCUAUAUGUUUAGUCAGUGGAUGAGAUAAUCAUGAAACAAUACGUGGAGAAUCAACACAGCCUUAUCAUCGCCAAAAAAUUUCAGCAUGCCAGAAACACGACCUGGUACAAUACUCUUGGUACCUCAAUUGUUGUCUUUAUUCCUGCAGAACCACAUGAGUGAGAUGUUUGCUUACCAUGCAACCAUGAUGUCCAAUACUCUUGGUACCUCAAUCGUUGUCUUUACCAAAACUGGUUUUAUGGCUUAUUCUAUUGAUCCAUUACCGACCUACGUAUACCGUGACCAUAUUUGCCUUUACGAAUGAAUGAGUUUUCAUGUUACCUCUCACAAAGGCAUUAGUUAAAAUUUUAACUGUAUCAGUUAUAUAGUACGCUGUGCAAGUUCUAUUCAUUAGCAAGUACUUUGAUUGUCAUGCAGUAAGAGCAUACAACGGAGAUUGGCUUUGUAUCAAGGCGUAUGUCCCAUAUACAUGGAGUUCCCAGAAGAUUCUGAAACAAGCUUUAGCAAUGCCUUGACUGUGCUGAAGGUGUUUUGCUGCAUAUUUCCUAAAUUUAUGGCGACGUAUGCUAUUCAACCAUGUCAGCACUGAUGGUGCAUUUUCUGGUGUUUUGUUUACAGGAGCAAGGAUUGGUAAAGGCAGGAGAAGAGGUCGCACUCGUUCAAAGUGGCAGGCAACCCAUUUGGCGGCUCCAACCCACUCACAACAUUCAAGUGCGAAAGUUUAGGUGCAACGUAGAUGGAAAACUCGUAGCUUUUGUGUUGUACUUCCAGUUGAAUGUCGUGAUAGUUUCUGAUGAAAUUGGGUUCCACCAUAAAACCAAUUGGCAAUAUGGGGAGUAGCCAAAGAUCAUAUAAGCACAUAGUAAACCUUGUCCCUCAUCAAUGUGGGACAACUCUCAACAUACCCCCGCACGUGUGACGGAAUUUCAAUCCUACACGUGGACAACAACUGGAUGACGUAGAGUGCGUGUGGCCGUUGGGCUUCACACGUGGACAACCUUGCUCUGAUACUAUGAUGAAAUUGGAGUUCCACCAUAAAACCAAUUAGCAAUAUGAGGAGUAGCCCAAGAUCAUAUAAACAUAUAAUAAACCUUGUCCCUCACCAAUGUGUGACAACUCUCAACUCCAAUGUGGGACAACUCUCAACAGUUUCUUGCUUUGGUUGUUUAAUUUUACUUCUGUUGCACACUUUUGUGGUCCUAUCUGCUUCUUUUUGUAUCCCUCUUUCCCCCUAAUUAGUUUGGGUGUAUGUUUUAGAACAGUAAGUUGUUUCAGUAUAAAUUUGGCAGUUUGAAUGAAAUGUCUUAACUUUUUACUCAAACUGUCUAAUUUUUUUUAAUUGUUUGAUUGAGGAGACAGAUUGUCACCUUAUAAUAUCCGCAGCAUAUACCGUUUGUCGCGUGGCCGUUGAACAUUGACUAGGUUAGGAUUAAGAUUGAGAGAGUCUGGUGCUUUUGUGAAUGUUAUUUUAUAGAUAGCGUGAUUAUACAGAUGGCAAAGCGCUUGAACUGGACUCGACAGAAUGAGGUAUUUAUUAACUAAGGUCAAAAGUCAAGCAAAAAUUGUUGAUAGGGACUUCAUAAACAAAAUUAAACAACAUUCGUUUGUAUAAUUAUCAAACCGACAAUAUCUUAGGGUGCUAUCCACACAUUCUUUUUUAUCUUUUGCACACUCCUCUCAAUUUUUAACUGCUAAAUCAAAUGAAUUGAAGAAUAUCAAAUAACAAAAAUUAACAGAGAAUGUGUGAAAGAUAAAACUGAGUGUAUAGAUAGCAUCACCCUAUCUUAUUAAGAUAAUGACAUCCUAUUUAUUUGAUAUAAUCUUUUAGGGACUAACCAAAACAUUGAGUUGCAAAAGUCAAACUCUUCCGAUGAUGGAAGAACUAAAUCCACUUUUAUCAUCACAAAACUUAACAUCACACCACCAUACUUCGACGACUUCUUUAUCACCAGUAGAAUUUCCGAAUUCAGCGAAGCAGCCGGAAUAUACCCACUUACGGCCGCUCAGGAGCCGCCGGCAACCCCAAAAACAUCUUUCUCAUACAAUGAUGUCACUUGGCGUCUUAACAAGGUGGGAGACUUUGGGAGGACUUUAUUGGGUAUUUCCAAGUACUCGGUACUCUAUGUAUUUUAACCAUUAGAUCUUUGUUUAGAAAUAUAAAAAUCAAAAUCUAACGGUUAAAACAUCCAAUGUACCAGUAGUACUGCUCAAAUUUUUUUGAGACAUUGAAUGCAAUCCCUCCAAAAAAUUAAUAGGUUAUACAGUAGUACCACUUCAACCGUGAUACUUUCAUUCAAAGGCUAGUUUUAUACUAAUAUGUGAUGCUUUCAUUCCAUAUUUGAGAGGGCCUUUGAAUAAGUAUAAAGCUAGCCUUUACAAUAUGAGCUAGCUAGCCUCCAUACACACAGUGCCUGCCAAUCAUGUAAAACCAUAGACAAUGAUACAAGACAAUUUAUUUGGACCUAUAAUUUCUUUUCAUAACUACAUCACAUCGCCCUUUAUGUAAAACUAUAUUUUAUUCAAUUUCAAAAAUUAGUACAUGCAAUAACAUGUUUUAUCAUAAAAAAUACGAUAAAUUUCAGGCCUCGUUUGGCAGCUCAGACUGUACUGACUAUUUCUGUCGGAUAGGAUAAAUAGUCAUCGGAUAGUACUGACUAAAUUAGUCGGGCGUUUGGUGCAGUAUCGGACUAAUGACUGUAUUAUUUAUACUGUGUUUGGUAUUAUACCGGAUAGAAGGAAUCAAACUUAAAAUAAAAUUAAAAAAAAAAUUAAAAUCAUCUCUCUUGUUCCAUAUCUCUCCGCCGCACCCCCCCAAACUCCCUCCCUUUCUAUCCCUUCCUCUUCUUCCCCGUCUGCUCCCCUGAACUAAACCCCACCACAAAGGCAGCAACAAGAAACCCAUCUUUCAAAUUCUCAUCGUUUUUUUCCCAAUCCUUAUUUUUUUUUAGCUACAAAUCAACCCAGCAAAAAAACACACCACAAACCAAGAAAAUUCACACAAAGGACUUUGUUUUCUAUUAGUCCUAAAAAACAAUUGGAAGGAAAUUCACGGAGGACACCUUUUUUUCAACAAACCAAGAACACUCAUCGGAGAGAAAAAUGGGGCUGACUGUGAUUUUGGGCAUUAGGUUGGGGAAAAGCAUUGACAAAAUUCGAUUUGGAGGAGGGGAAGAGCUGAGUGACGCCUCCAGUUGGCGAAUUCCUCAGCUUCCAUCCGCCCCUUUCUAUAUAUCCCUGUGGAAUAUGUUGUUUCGCUACUGGUCUCCUUUUGUCUCUCUCUCACUCUCUUCUUUGUUCCUCUGUGUGCUUUCCGUCGGACGAGACGGGAAAUUAGUCGGCGAAUGACUGCAGAGGAGUGGCGCCCGGGGUGGAGAACUCGUCGAGGAACUACUCGAAGGCCCACUUUGAGAAGUCGUUAACGGCGGCUUUGUGAAGUUGGAGAGGACAGCGCCCUGACUAAUUAUCCCGAGCUUUUGGGCUGUUUUAAUAGUACGUUGUCAACCGUAUAAAAUUUGAUGGGCCGGAUAAUUAAGCGGGUGCUUAUUUAGUACGAGAGUGCACCAAACAACAGCUCCUGUAUUACUUAUCCUAUCCGAUGCUUUAUACGGCGUGCCAAACGAGGUGAGCGUGUAUUAGAAAUACGGGAUGGUAAAUCACAUAUUAUUAUAUAAGUGAAAAAAAGUUUUAUUUUUUUAAGUGUGCCUCCACUUAUAUAAUAUAUUGUACUACCCAAAUUCUGAAUAAGUAAAAGAUCUCUCCGAAAAAUACAUAUGCAUGUUUUAUUCAAAAGGUAAGGAAUGAUGCGUCAUCAUCCCUAAUACACUUUAUUAUAGUAGUAGCAUCAAUUGAGGCAGAGAAGUUAAUUAGAUGCUGUCCUUAAUGGAUGCACUAUAACCGUUGUCAUAGAACCUGUUCCAAAGCAUAACUCCUCCGUACUUGGGCGAAUUCUUAAUCGUUGGAAGAACUUGUGACUUGAGAGCGUCAGCAGGAAUAAAUCCGCCGCUCGGAGCGGCCUCAGGAGCUGCCGGUAACCCCAUGAACACCUGGGUGGCCGGAACCGAGGCCCAUUGGUUCCAACUGCUCAAAAGAGCGUCGGCAUUACCGUCCGCAUACUGGCAUUGGGGGUUGUUGUAGAACUGGACCCAAACGUAGUCAAAUAAACCGGUUUGGAUAGCGCCGUCUAGGUGAGCAUCCGGGAUCGGACAUUGUGGAGCUGCGGCUAAAUAGACCGUUUUUGCCUGUCCGUUGUGUCCGUUGAGUGACUUGGCGAGCUCAUCAUAGAACUGCGCACCACCCGCCUCAAUGUCGAAAUCAACGCCGUCCAAAACCGCGUCCCCAAGCGGGCGCGAAGCUGACUGACCACCUAAGAAGUUGUUCCAGAUGUAAUCAGCAACUUGCCUUGCAUCAUCAGCUGAAGUGAGAGAGUAACUUCCGGCGGCCCCUCCAAUCGAGAGGAGGACUUUUAUGUUUUUUGAUUGGCAGGUUCUGAUGUCGGCACUCAGCCCGGUGCAAGUACCACUAGCGGGGUCGCAGUGGCCGGCGAGGUUUAGGACAGGGGUUUGGUUGUUUCCGAAAGUAGUGAGGAAAGCUAUGUUAACAAACUGGUAGUUGCCUGAGUUGCAAGCAUCUGCUAGGGUUCCUUCGUUUCCGUUUUGGCCCCAAUAGACCGCAAUUCCGGCGGCUUGGGAGGACUUGCAUGAAGAAAUGAGGAUCAAGAGGGACAGCGUUAGGGCUAGGGUUUGUGUUUUGGAUGCCAUUUUUAUAUGUUUUUUUGGGUUGUUGUUCAAAGUGCUUGGGAGUGGACAUGUACUUAUAGGUGCAGGGGACUUAUCGGUUAAGGUUUAGGGGAAGAAAAGUAUGACAGACGUGUUCUGCAGGUAAGAGUCUUCUGCUUGCAACCGCGUCAAUCACGUUAGGGCCUGUUUAUUUAGUCCAAGUUUCACUUUACAACUUAGAACACGUCAAUUAAAUUAGGUCGGGUUGAAAAUGCAUUUUCCAAAACCACUUUCACACAUAAGCGCUUCUUAUAUUUUCAUAAAAAUGCAAGUGGUUUUAUAAAAAAAAAAACUUGAGGUGUUUGGCGUGUGUUUUUUCAGAAAGCACUUAAAAUAUUUUUUCAACCUAAAAUCACUGAAUUUUUUAUGAUUUCAAAGUUCUUUUAAUUGUUUUGAAGGCACUUCCAACUGAUAUUUUAUAAAAAAUUACUUCUAGAGAGAAUUAUAGCAUGCUAAUUGAGAGAUUCCGAAACUAAAAAGCCAUCAAAUUUGCCAAAAAAAAAAUCUGAUGAGACAAUACGUGGAGAAUCAACACAGCUGUAUCAUCACCAAAAAUUUUCAGUGUGCAGAAAUACAGUCCGGUACAAAGUGUUAUAAUAAAAUUGGUUGAUUUUUUUUUUUAAGUUUCCAACUAAUUAUAUUAUUACACUUGAUGUACCGAUCCGUAUUUCUGAAAAAUCUCUCCUUACCAUCACAUCACAUGAAUGUUUUGGAAAGUUCGUAGAUAGAAACCAAAAUCUCUCCUUAUCAUCACAUCACAUCACAUGAACGUUUGGGAAGCUCGUCGAUAGAAACCAAAUGGAAUAUGCUUUUAGCUGAGGAUGGCCAUUGGCCAGGGACUUCGGUCUAAUCACGAUGCUUUAAUUUCGCAGUCGGAAAAAAACUUUCGAAUAAAAUUUAGGGUAUAUUUAGGAAGUGUUUUUAAAUGAUUGAAAACAUUUUUAGAAAUAUUUUUUUUUAAAAACGUUUCCAGUCAUUUAAAAAAACUUCUUAAACGAGUUUAAUUACUUGUGUAUGGGGCAACAUUUAGCUAGUAAUGGUUCUCAUGAAUUGGAUUGUGGUGAUGUGAAAAUGGGUUUGGGUUAGUUUAGUUUAGAGUUUAUAUUUACUAUCCGGUGCAUGCAAAUGGAAUGUCAAAUCUUUCAGAGAAAUUUUGAUAGAACUGCCACUUAGGGCAACACAUAUUAAACAAACAAAUGUAGGGUUGGAGAAGACUAAAAUACAUGAAUUCUCGUGUUUUCAUAAAUGUGAUCUAAAAAUAAUAUAGCAUGUGCCCUGAGAACAACGUGAUCAGUACCUAAUCGAAGUUCUCUAGUGUGGAAAGAUUCAAGAGGGGUGUGACGCUUCCGACAAAUAAAAAAUCACACAUUUUCGAAUUCGGAAAUGUAUAGAACAGAGCAGAUAUCACUAGAUGAAUGUUAACUGUUUUACAGAAAAUUUAUAAGACAAUUAGAGUUAAACAACAGAAGCUUGCACUUUAAAUGGUUAUGUCCAGCUGCUUUUGGUAUGUAUAUGCUUUUUCCAUGUCUCGAUGUAGUUCCAGUUCACUGCUCAUCAUCCUGGAACAAUGCUUUCGAAACAGAGCCGCACGGCUGGCUACUGUAUUCUCGGUAAUCUUCAUCGUCAUCACAGCUGCGUUGCGAGCAUGAACGUUUGAUUCCUGUCAUUGGGGUUUCACAGACUCUGUCAUCGCAUGAACCUCUAUGAUCCUUCCUUUUAAACAGCUUUCGAAGCGGAUUUGACUUUGGUUUCAAUGGUUUCAGCCGUUUGGGGGCCCAAACUCUCUGCAGAUCGGGCAUCCAUCUUGUGGAUGAAGCGAAUCUCCAAGCCCUCUCUCUCCUCUCUUGAGCUUCAAGUAACUUGCGAGCAUGGUCGUCCUAUUGUUUGAUCUCUUCGACGCUUGGUCUUCCAAUAUCAGUUUUCAGCGGACGAAGAGACUCACCUUCUGCUUGUAAUGAGUCCCAGAUUCUAUAACUUCCAUCCACUUCGACACUCUUCGGUUUUUCUUUACAGGAUCGAUUGCUAUCCUCACUGUUGAGUAAACUAUUAGGGAGUUCUUCCUCAUCAGCAAACAGUAACAAAUCCAUUUUCGUAUAGAUUUUGUGAACCACAUCUUCAAGUGUCUCACAGUACCUGAAAAAUGUCCAAAUUCAGGCUCUUGACAAUUUGACAAAGCAUUUCAUUGAAAAGGUUCAAUCCUUACUACCAUUAUAAUUUAUAAUGUGUUGUAUGGUUUACCUCGUAAUGGUGCUAAGUUAUUUCUACAGUUUUGGGGCAUUUUUUUUGCAGUUUCGGUGCAAUUUUGAUGCAGUUCUUUUUUUUUGCAAUUUUGCUGCAUUGUUGUUGCUGUUUUUGCUGCAUGUUCAUUGAUUAAUAAAAAGGUCGUACCCAGUGCACAAGGCUCCCUUGAUUAAUAUAUGAGAAAAAUAAGACUGUCAUAUGCUUAAAUAGGUGUAUAUUUUAAAUUAUACAUUUUUUUUUCAAAAAUCGAACCGAAACUGUUUGAAACCGUACCGCACCAAACCAAACGGUUUGGUUUCAUUUCAGUUUUGGCUUCAAAACUGCACCGAACCGCACCGCAAAAAAAUUUGGUUUCGGUUGCGGUUUCACUCGAAACCGCACCGAAGCGCACCGCGCCCACCCCUACAGGGGACUUGUCGAUGAAGGUUUAGGGGAAGAGAAGUAUGACAGACGUGUCUUGCGGGUACAAAAUGGGUGCCAGUCUUCUGCAUGCAUGGAACCGCGUGAACCAAGUUAGGGCCUGUUUAGUCCAAGUUUCACUUGACAACUUAGAAAUUUGUCAAUUAAGUUAGGUCGUGUUGGAAAUUCUUUUUUCAAAAACCACUCAUAAGUGCUUUUAAUAUUUUUCGUAAGAAUGCAAGCGUUUUUAGAAAACACACUCAAGGUGCUUAGCGUGUGCUUUUUUUUAGAAAGCACUUUUAAGUGUUUUUUCAACCUAAAAACACUUGUUUUAAAGACACUUCCAACAAACACAUAAUUAAUGGAAAAUUACUUCCAGAGAGAAAUAUAGCAUGCUAUUUGAGAGAUUCCAAAACUAAAAGCUAAAUAGUUAUUAAGCGUGACCUUAACCAAGGUGAAAUAAAAUAUCAAAUUUGACAAACAAUCUGAUGAACGUCAUAGCUAUAUGUAUAGUCAGUAGAUGAGAUAAUCAUGAAACAAAACGUGGAGAAUCAACACAGCCUUAUCAUGGCCAAAAUUUGUCUGUGUGCCAGAACCACGGCCUAGUACACUAAAAGUGUCAUAAUAGAAUUGGUUGGAAAUUCAUUCGGUUACAACUGACUCUGAAGUCUUUAUUUCUGCACAACCACAUAGUGAGAUGUUUGCUUACCAUGCAACCAUGAUGUCCAAUACUCUUGGUACCUCAAUCGUUGUCUUUACCAAAACUGGUUUUAUGGCUAUUCUAUUGAGCCAUUACCGACCUACCGGGAUCAUAUUUGCCUUCACGAAUGAGUGAGUUUUCAAUUUACCUGUCACAAAGGCAUUUAGUUAAAAUUUGUAACUGUAUCAGUCAAAAUAUGCUGUGAAAGUUCUAUUCAUUAGCAAGUACUUUGAUUGCCAUGCAGUAAGAGCAUACAACGGAGAUUGGCUUUGUAUCAAGGCGUAUGUCCAAUAUAUACAUGGAGUUCACAGAAGAUUCUGAAACAAGCUUUAGCAAUGCCUUGACUGUGCUGAAGGUGAUGUUUUGCUGCAGAUUUCCUAAAUUUAUGGCGACGUAUGCUAUUCAACCAUGCCAGCACUGAUGGUUCAUUUUCUGUUGUUCUGUUUGCAGGAGCAAGGAUUGGUAAAGGCAGGAGAAGAGGUCGCACUCGUUCAAAGUGGCAGGCAACCCAUUUGGCGGCUCCAAUCCACUCACAAAAUUCAAGUGCGCAAAAUUUAGGUGCAACGGAGAUGGAAUAAUCGCCCUCGUAACAUAGAUUUCUUCGUCUACACUACAAAAGUUUCAAAUGAUAGCUUUUGUGUUGUACUUCCAGCGGAAUUGUCGUGAUACUUUCUUCCUUUGGUUGUUUUUUUUCUUCUGUUGCACACUUUUGUGAUCCUAUCAAUGUGCUUCUUUUUGUUUCCGAUUUCCCCCUAGUUAAUUUUGGCGUAUGUUUUAGAACUGUAAGUUGUUAAAGUAUAAAUUUGGCAGUUUGAAUGCAAACUGUCUAAAUUUUUUUAAUAGUUCGAUUGAGGAAACAGAUCGUCACACUCACAUUCUAAUAUCCGCCGCUUACCGUUUGUCGUGUGGCCGUUUAACACUGACUAAGGUAGAUCUCACAUCAGAUCAGCACGGGACUAGGUUCCGUGCUCUUGUGAAAGUUAUUCUACGUACGACGUGAUUCUACACAUGGUUUGUGGUUUGGGCUUGAACCGGUCUCUACGAAAUGAGGCAGAUUUUUUGUUUAUUAACAAAGGUCAAAAGUCAAACAAAAAUUGUUGAUACAGACUAUCUUAAACAAAAUUAAACAACAUUCGCUUGAAUAAUUAUCAAAUUGACAAUGUCUCAUAGGUGAUGCUGUCCAUACACUCUUUUUAUUUUUCACUCACUCCUCCCAAUUUUUAACCGUCAGAUCGAAUAAAUUAAAGAUGAUCAAAAGACAAAAAUUAACUGAAGAUAUGUGAAAGAAAAAACAAAAUGUAUAUAUAGCAUCACCUAUCUUAUUAGGAUAAUGACAUCCGAUUUAUUUGAUAUAAUCUUUUAGGGAAACCAAAACGUUGAGUUACAAAAGUCAAACUCUUCCGAUGAUGGAAUAACUAUAUCCAUUUUUAUCAUCACAAAACUCGGACCCUAACAUCACACCACCAUACUUCGACGACUUCUUUAUCACCAGUAGAAUUUCCGAAUUCAGCAAAGCAGCCACAAUAUACCCACUUCUGGCCACCUCAGGAGUGGCCGGCAACCCCAAAAACAUCUUCCCUUUCUAAUACAUUAAUGAUGUCAGUUGGCGUCUUAACAAGAUGGGAGACUUUGGAGUCGCUUUAUUGGGAUCUCCCGAGUACUCGGUACUCUAUGUAUUUUAACCGUUAAAUCUUUGUUUAAAAAUAUAAAAAUCAAAUUCUAACAGUUAAAAUAUUCAAAAUAUCCAUAGUACCGCUCGAAAUUUUUUGAGACAUUAAAUGCAAUCCCUCCAAGAAAUCAUCUCAAAUUUUUUUGAGACAUUAAAUGCGAUCUCUCCAAGAAAUUAUUAGAUUAUACCGUAGUACCAUCUCAGCCGUGGUAGUUUCAUCCAAAGGCUAGCCUUUACAAUAUGAGCUAGCCAGCCUUCAUGCACACAGUGCCUGCCAAUCAUGUAAAACCAUUGACAAUGAUACAUGACAAUUUAUUUGGACCUAUAACUUCAUUUCAUAACUACAUCAGAUAACCGUUUAUGUGCAACUAUAUUUUAUUCAAUUUCAAAAAUUAGCAUAUGCAAUGACAUGUUUUAUCGUAAAAAGUACAAGAAAUUUUCAACGUAUCACAAAUACAAAGUGUUAUACCACAUGUCAUUAUAUAAAGAGAAAUUUUUUAUAUUUUAAGUCUGUCUCCACUUAUAUAAUAUGUGUUGUACCAUCCGAAUUCCGGAUCAGUAAAAGAUCUCUCCAAAAAUACAUAUGCAUGUUUUAUUCAAAAGGUUAGGAAUGAUGCGUCAUCAUCCCUAACGCACUUUAUUAUAAGUAGUAUCAUCCAUUGAGGCAGAGAAGUUAAUUAGAUGCUGUCCUUAAUGGAUGCACUAUAGCCGUUGACAAUGUCAUACUGCCUGCCCCAGAGCAUAAUUCCUCCGUACUUGGGCGAUUUCUUAAUCGUUGGAAGAACUUGUGACUUGAGAGCGUCAGCAGGAAUAAAUCCGCCGCCCGGAGCGGCCUCAGGAGCUGCCGGUAUACCCAAGAACACCUGGGUGGCCGGAACCGAGGCCCAUUGGUUCCAACUGCUCAAAAGAGCGUCGGCAUUACCGUCUGCAUACUGGCAUGGGGGGUUGUUGUAGAACUGAACCCAAACGUAGUCAAAUAAACCGGUUUGGAUAGCGCCGUCUAGGUGAGCAUCCGGGAUCGGACAUUGUGGAGCUGCGGCUAAAUAGACCGUUUUUGCCUGUCCGUUGUGUCCGUUGAGUGACCUGGCGAGCUCAUCAUAGAACUGCGCACCACCCGCCUCAAUGUCGAAAUCAACGCCGUCCAAAACCGCGUCCCCAAGCGGGCGCGAAGCGGACUGACCACCUAAGAAGUUGUUCCAGAUGUAAUCAGCAACUUGCCUUGCAUCAUCAGCUGAAGUGAGAGAGUAACUUCCGGCGGCCCCUCCAAUCGAGAGGAGGACUUUUAUGUUUUUUGAUUGGCAGGUUCUGAUGUCGGCACUCAGCCCCGUGCAAGUACCACUAGAGGGGUCGCAGUGGCCGGCGAGGUUUAGGACAGGGGUUUGGUUGUUUCCGAAAGUAGUGAGGAAAGCUAUGUUAACAAACUGGUAGUUGCCUGAGUUGCAAGCAUCUGCUAGGGUUCCUUCAUUGCCGUUUUGGCCCCAAUACGUCGCGAUUCCGGCGGCUUGGGAGGACUUGCAUGAAGAAAUGAGGAUCAAGAGGGACAGCGUUAGGGCUAGGGUUUGUGUUUUGGAUGCCAUUUUUGUAUGUUUUUUUGGGUUGUUGUUCAAAGUGCUUGGGAGUGGACUUGUACUUAUAGGUGCAGGGGACUUAUCCGUUAAGGUUUAGGGGAAGAAAAGUAUGACAGACGUGUUCUGCGGGUUAGAAAUGGGUGCCAGUCUUCAGCUUGGAACCUCGUCAAUCAAGUUAGCUAGGGCCUGUUUAGUCCAAGAAGUUUCACAUAAAACGCCGAUUAAGUUAGGUCGGGUUGGAAAUGCUUUCUUCAAAAACUACUUACACACGUAAGCGCUUCUUAUAUUUUUCAUAAGAAUGCAAGUGCUUUUGAAAAAAAACACUUGAGCUGUUUCGUGUGUUUUUUUCAGAAAAUACUUUAAAUGUUUUUUCAAACUAAAAAUCCAUUAAAGCUCCUUUACUUGUUUAAGGGCACUUCCAAAAUCAUAUUUAAAGAAAAAUUACUUCUAGAGAGAAUUAUAACAUGCUAAUUGAGAGAUCCCGAAACUAGAAACUAGAUAGUUAUAAUGAAGCGUGACCUUAACUGCUUAAUUAAGUGAAAAAAGCCAUCAAAUUUGACAAAAAGUCUGAUGAAAGGUCAUAGCUGUAUCAUCUGUAGAUGAGAUAAUCAUGAAACAAUGUGGGGAAUCAACACAUCCUUAUCAUCGUCAAAAAAAAAAAUUCACUGUGCUGGAAGCACGUUCAAUUGAACGUUUUGGAAGUUUGUGGAUAGAAACCAAAUGGAAUAUGCUUGUAACCAAAAUUGCUGGCUGCUAUAUACAUCUUGGAUUUUAGCUGAGGUGGCCAUUGGCCAAGGACUUUGGUCUAAUCACGAUGCUUUAAUUUCGCAAUCCAAAAAAAAAAUUCAGAUAAAAUUUAGAACACGUUUUGGGAGUGCUUUCAAAUUACUGAAAGCGAUUUUAGAAAGAAAAAAAAUGUUUAUAUAACUAAUCUUUAAUAAAAAUGCAAGUUAAUCCUCCAAAAGUACUGAAACUAGUGCUUCUUUGAUAAAACACUUCAAGUGCUUUUGGAGCUCAAAAAUAUUAUCUCAAGUGGUUUCAGUCAUUUAAAAACACUUUCUAAACGAGUUAAUGACUCGUGUAUGGGGCAACAUUUAGCAAGUAACGGCUCUCAUGAAUUGGAUUGUGGUGAUGUGAAAAUGGGUUUGGGUAAGUUUAGUUUAGACCAGUCAGCAGUGUUUAAAAUAUCCACGACAUUAUCGAUAUUUUCGUUGAAAUAUCCUUAAAAUUAAGGGUCCAUAAGCAAAAGAAGGAUGAAAUGCAAACUUCACCCUAUAUCGGCAAGAUACAAGAAAACAAUGAAUAUAGACAAUAUGUAACAACUCGUCCCAAGAUUUACUGUAUAUAAAUGGUAUUUUUGUAUUUUCAUCAAGUUUGGGAAUUUAUCUUCCUUUUAAAAUUUGUUUUUGGUCUUAAAUGGUGAUCCAAGGGGACCCACUCCCCUGAUUUUGUCCCCGAGCCCUCUUCUCUCUUUCUUCCUCUCCUCUUCCCUUUCCCCUUUCCCGUAUACUUCUAUUCCUCUCUUCUCUAUGAUCACACUCACACCCAGCUGCACUCCCUGCUCGAGGAAGACGCAAUCACCAUCUAAACCACGUCCCUUUCCUCUUCCUCUUGCCUCUGUGCAACUCGGCGAAACCAAGAAAAUAACCUCCGGCAAGUCCGACGGCUUUCGAAGCCAUUUCCUGCCAAACCACGGCGCGUUGGCCGGCGUGCAAGGUAUCAAUCUCUUCGUCCCGUCAAGUACUAUAACUUUUCUUUUUGUUUCACUCAAUUUAAUUGAGUAUUGAAGAAGUUAUACUCAUUUGAAUCUUACCCAGUUUCCGGCGACCUCCGAGGCUUUCGAGGAAAUUUCAGGCCAAACCAUGGCGAGUCAGACGUGAGGUAUCAUUCUCUUCGUCUCUUCCAGGACUACAACUUUCGUUUUUGUCUCGCUUGAUUUCGUUGAGUAGUGACAAAGUUAUGGCUGUUUAAAGUGGGGUGGUUUUCCGGCCGAAUUUCCGGCCUUCUUCUUCCUUGGCAACAGGCCACCCGGCCUUUCCCUCUCCCUCGGACCUUAGGCCCGUGUUGUCUUAAGCCCAAAACCCUAGCCUUUAGUUUUAAGUUUUAUUAUUUGGUUUUAAAACCCUAAAAAGGGCCUUGGGCCGGUGGUUUUUAAAAAGGGCUUAAAGCCCUGUUUUUCUUUAUUUAUUUUUAUUAAGGCCUUAAGGCCUUGUGAUUUUGUGCCCGUGGGUGUGUGUGUUAGGUGUGUAUGUGUUUAUGCAUGCACAUGCAUGCCGUGUGUGUGUGUGUAUUUGUAGUAUGUGUGUGUUUGGGCUAAAGCCCAAACCCCAAUUCUCACCCUAAAACCAUUUUAACCCAAAAUCCUAGGUUCCUAAAAUCCUUUAAAACCCUAAACCCAUCCAAUCCCAAAUCCCCUAUUUUAUUUAAACCUAAACCCUAAUCCGGAUUUCAAGCCUAAAACCCAUUUGACCGUUGACCCCCGGUCAACGUUGAUUUUAGGGUUGACUUUUCGGGUUUUCGUCCGGGACCCUUCUUAGGGUAAUUCGACGUUCUAAAUCCGUUUCCAAUGUCCAUUUUCCCAAAUUCAAUUGUUAUUAUAUAGUUUUAUUUAUUGGACUCUUUAUGUGCUUAGGGGCAAUUAUUGUGACGUUUCCAUCUUCGCUAGUGGCACAGCUUUUGGCAACUAAGUAUUGUGAGUGGACCCCUUCUAGAAUUACAUGAUUUGAUAAUUUAAUUGCAUAAAUGAUUAGCAUGCCUACGAAUUUAUGAUUUGAUUUAUGUGAAGCCUGAUGAUUUAAUAUAUUGAUUAUCGUCUCGGGUUUUGGUGAGGAAUUAUUUGUUAGCCUAUAUUGAGCUAUAUUUUAAUAUAUCGUAUUUUCUAUUAAAACCAUGAACUGGUAGACUAUCUGAUAGAUGACGAUAGGAUGCUAGAACAUGUUUUUGAACCCCUCUUUAUAGUGUAGACGAUGAUCGGUAACCUAUGCUAUGAAGUGGUUUUUUUUAGAGAGACGUAACUAUUUGUGCGUACCUAGUAGACACUAUGCCGCCUGGGGCAAGGAACUGGUGUUGGCAUUUAGGCCGGGAGAAAUAAUCCCUAGCGAAAGGCUGAGGGACACGGAGACAGGCAGUGGGCCAAGAGGGAGUUAUCUCUGGCUACGGGCACAGAGACUGAGGUGCAAGCAUUGGGCCGGGAGUUAUAUUUAUUCAGUGAUCUUUCUAGCAGCACACUGCGUUUACGAGACGAUUUAUGAUGCGUUUACUGUUUUGAUUUCCGCGAUGUUUUUCCGCGUUAUGGCGUUUGAGAUAUUUUUGGCAUACUAGGAUUUUUAUUAAAUCCAUCACUUAUUAUGCUAGUAGUUUUCAUUUAUAUAAACUUUGGGGGUUAGUAUGUUGAUAAUUGUUUUAUUAUUAUUGUAUAUAUAAACUUGGUCCACUCACCUUUGUUUUGCGCCCCCAUUCAGGACUUAGAAUCAAGGCACCUAAUCCCGGCGUGAAGACACUUUCGCAGCAGCAUCUUCGGAUCCUCUCGAUGUAGGACUCACUCCUUUACUCAUUAAAUUUUAUCUUAAUUCUUUUUAGUGAUUAGAUUUAGUUGUAUGCUCUGAGCACGUUCCUAAAACUUUUAACUCUUAGUUUUUAAAUUCAUAACACUUACUUAUUUCUUAUUCUUAGCUUUUGUAUCAAUUAAUGGCUUUCGUCACCCUCGGGUGUCGGCCAGCAUGUGUCUUCCUGGUAUUCGGGGAAUAUCAGGGUCGGGGCGUGUCACAAUAUUUACGGAUUAAUUACAAAAUUUUGCUAAUACCUAUUGCAGAUUUCGAACUGUAGAAUUUUUUUUAUAAAUUUUUUCUUUAAUUUCAACUAAAUCUGAAUGAGUACUUACCCCAUUGUAAAUUUCCAUCGAAGACUUUCCAACUAUAUCGAUAUUUUAAACACUGGUUUAGACCAACAUGUUUAAUAUCCAGUGCAUGCAAAUAGAAUGUCAAAUCUUUUUGAAAAACUUCAGUAUGACUGCCACUUAAGGGCAACUAGCAUAUUAAAGAGACCAAUGCAAAGUUGGAUGAGACUAAAAUACAUAAAGUCUCAUGUUUUGGUGAGAUGUGGUUUACAAAUGAUAUAGCAUGUGCCCUACGAAAAACGAGAUCGGAUUACCUAAUUGAAGUUUCUCUAGCAUGAAAAAUUCAAGAGGGAUGUGACGGUUCCGGAAAGUAAAAAAUCACACAUUUUUAUUAAUAAUUUUUUUGUUCGAAUUCGGAAAUGUAUAGAACUGAACAAAUGGAAUAGUGGCUCAGUGAUACCAACAAUUUCAUGUUGCAAAUUACAAAAAAAAAAAAAAAAAAAAAAAAAAAAGGAAAUGUUUUACACAAAAUUAAUGACAAUUAGAGUUAAACAACAGAAACUUGCACUUUAAAUGGUUUUUUUCUGCUGCUUUUGGUAUGUAUAUGCUUUUUCCGCACCGCUGGCUACUGUAUUCUCGGUAAUUUUCAUCGUCAUCCCAGCUGCGUUGCGAGCAUGAACGUUUGAUUCCUGUCAUUGGGGUUUCACAUACUCUGUCAUCACAUGAACCUCCAUGAUCCUUCCUUUUAAACAGCUUUCGAAGUGGAUUUGACUUUGGUUUCAAUGGUUUCAGCUGUUUUGGGGCCCAAAUUCUCUGCAGAUCGGGCAUCCAUCUUGUGGAGUAAGCGAACCUCCGAGCCCUCUCUCUCCUCUCUUGAACUUCAAGUAACUUGCGAGCAUGGUCGUCCUUUUGUUUGAUCUCUUCAGCGCUCGGUCUUCCAAUAUCAGUUUUCAGCGGACGAAGAGACUCACCUACUGCUGGUAAUGAAUCCCAGAUUCUAUAACUUCCAUCCACUUCGACACUCUUCGGUUUUUCUUUACAGGAUCGAUUGCUAUCCUAACUGUUGAGUAAACUAUUAGGGAGUUCUUCCUCAUCAGCAAACAGCAACAAAUCCAUUUUCUUAUAGAUUUUGCGAACCACAUCUUCAAGUGUCUCACAGUACCUGAAAAAUUCCAAAUUCAAAGAUUAAUCUAUCUGCUUAAGUUAAUUUUCCAUCUCAAACAAAAAUUGAUUGCCCGCACAUGUACUUCCGGAAAACUAAUUCCAGGAACGGAUUAUUUAAGCAACAUCGUUUCUUCAAGGAUCAUACUGUAGACAUACACUAUUGGCACAUUGCAAAAGUUGUAUAAACAUAUUCCACACUCGUUCAGAAAAACAUGGGUACGAUGUGCGCAUAACUGGCCUAUAUCCUGUCAAUCUACACUGAUAAGGAAAGACACUUUAACUCAUCUAAGAUUAUAAAGACAACCACUUUCCUUAUUUAGCAUUGUUGCAAAGGUAAGUAGGACAUGAUUUGUUAGAUAGGUAGUAAUAUCCCACAUGAAAGUGGAACACAGUGGCACCGGAAAUGUGUAUUUGUUGAGACAUGAACGAUAGACUGAAUGCAGCGUGUGCUAUAUAGCCUUUCAGCGAAAGCCAUAAUGCCUCAGUAAAACAUCCAUUAUAUAAAGUAAAGAAUAAUUUCAAGGGUAGGGGUUUUCAACUGUGGUACAGAUUUAUUACCUGCUUUUUAUGAUCUUUUCAACAUAAUCAUACACUCCAGUCACCAAAGAAGCCCUCCAGAUGACAUCGAAUUUUCUCCAAAAAGGAGCAAAUCUGUUUUACAGACUUCUGUUUUGUAGAUUCAGCAAUACGUGCACCAACCUCUGAUUGUAGUAUCUCCAUCCGGAAAAAUAUCUGCAAUUCAUAUCGUGCACGAGCUGGCGCAAGGAGGCGGCGAAGCACGAAGCCCGGGGCGGCGAUGCCGGGUCGAGGCGAAAUGCGGGGAGGGAAUUGAGGGUUUGGGAGAGGGAAUUGAAAGUGGGGCCGGGGAGGUGGAAAGAGAGGGAGAGAGAAGUGGGGAGCUUGGAGGAGGAGAGCAGCGGAGAGAGGGAGGAGAAGAAGGGUCUGAAGGCGAAGAGAGAGGCGGAGAGAGGAGGGAAAGAGAGGAUGGUUUUGACGGCGGCGAGGAAGGCUGUGAGAAAUGGAGCUGGGUUUUGGAGGUGGAGGAGUGGGUUGAGGCCUAGGAGGAGGACGAUGCGCUGCGUUUUGCCGUAGUCGGCGAUUGGGUCGCCGGAGCUCCGUUCAGAUGCCAUCGCAUUUGCAGGAGGAGAAAGAGACGGACUUGGGUUGCAGAGAAGGGAGAUGCAAAUGUGGAAUUAAGGAACAGUAAACCGAAUACGCAGUCGUUUUAGUAGAAAAACGACGAUACGGUAGAUGCUUGAGCGGGAAACCAAAUUUUGGCUGUAAAGGAAAUGUUUUAGGCCCCGUUUGGGAUUGAGGUGAUUUUAAAAAAAGCCACUGUGAAAAAAAGCUGAGGGUCAUUUUUGUGUUUGGUAAACUGAAAAAAGGGCUUAUUUUGGAAGCUGCUGUGAAAAUAAGCUGAAAAUCAAAGGAAAAGCUGAAGCUGCUAUUUGCUGCUUUGAAAAAAAGCCAGUUUUUUCAAAGCACACAGAGCUACAAUGCUCCUUUAAUGAAAAGACACACUAUCAUCCUGAUUUUUUUUCCAAAAGCACUUUCACAAAAAAGUUUACCAAACACUCUACUGCUUUAUUUCACAGCCGCUUAUUCUCACAGCACAGCCGCUUAUUCUCACAGCAGCUUUUUUUCAAAGCACAGCAAUACCAAACCAGCCCUUAAUCUCAUGAAGGACCUGUUUGGACUGCAUCUAAAUUUGUUAAAAGCGCUUUUAGAGAACAAAAGAGCUUUUGACAUCAGUUGAAAAAAAAAAAAUAUUUAAAGUACUUCUUCACGUGAAAAAAACACAUGGUUUUUAAUGAAAAUUCCAACAUGAUUUGAAUGAAAGUGCUUUCAAAAAGUAUUAUGAAUAGAUAUGCUUUUUUAUAUGCUUCUAUGAAAAGUGCUUUUUGCAAACAAUGUCGGGCUCGUUUGUAAUUACUUUUAAAAUGGUUGAAAGUGUAUUUCGUAAAAAUAUUUUUAGAAACAAUAUUUAGUAAAAUGCAAGUGAAUCCUAAAAAAAACACUUCAAGAAUAGAACAACCAAAGGGGCGAAAACUGUAAACCUCAUAGCAACCGAAUUACAAUUCGAGAACAUACCCGUUACUGAAUCCCAAAUCGCUGGUUCCCAAGUGUAGUCAUGCACAAGCUCGUUUAGAACCAAUAUUUUCUCUAAGAACGAUUUCAAUCAUUUGAAAAACAUUUUUAAACGAACUGAUGUUUUUAGGAGAAACACAAUGAGGAGCAAAUGAUUCCUAGGCGAGAAGAAAAACUAGACAGAAUGUUAAAUAGCACAUUAUGUACCAAUUUUUCUUCAACAAAUUGGAACUACUGAGAAGUUUGGAAACUAAAAAGUAAAGAUUGAUUCUAAGGAUUCUAACCCUGAUGAUUGCUUAUACAGUCGAACUACUUGAAUAGACUGGACUACCGAAGAUAAACUCAUACAUAUACGAAUUAUUAAAAAGUGAAAGAGGCUCAUCUCAGUUUUUUUUUUUUUUUUUAGUUGAAAGAAAAAAAAGGUAAAACAUGGAGAAGAUCAUGAACAGUAAUGGGUUUUAGUAUAUAUAAAUAUAAUUUGUAACUGUAUCUGUCCAAAUAUGCCGUGCAAGUUCUAUUCAUUAGCAGGUACUUUGAUUGCCAUGCAGUAAGAGCAUACAACGGAGAUUGGCUUUGUAUCAAGGCGUACGUCCCAUACACCUCUUUUAUGGGUGAUGCUGUCCACACACUUCUUUUAAUUACCAGUCGUCAUAUAGAAUGAAUUCAAGAGGAUCAAAUGACUAAAAUUAACAGAGAAUAUGUAAAAGAUAAACCAGAGUGUAUGGAUAACACCACCCUAUCUUAUUAGGAUAAUAACAUCCGAUGUGUUUGAUAUAAUCUUUUAGGGACUAACCAAAACAUUGAGUUACAAAAGUCAAACACUUCCGAUGAUGGAAGAACUAUAUCCACUUCUAUCGUCACAAAACUUGGACAAUAACAUCACACCACCAUACUUUGACGACUUCUUUAUCACCGGCAGAAUUUCCGAAUUCAACAAAGCAGCCGGAACAUACCCACUCUUGGCCGCCUUAGGAGCCGCCAGCAACCCCAAAAACAUCUUCCCUGUCUAAUACAAUGAUGUCACUUGGCGUCUUAACAAGAUGGGAGACUUUGGAGGGACUUUAUUGAGUACUCCAGAGUACUCAGUACUCUCAUUUGUUUAAAAAUAUAAAAAUCAAAAUCUAACGAUUAAAACAUCUAGAGUAUCCAUAUAUAGUACUGCUCAAAACUUUUUGAGACAUUGGACGUGAUCCCUCCUAGAAAUUAUUAAGUUAUACAGUAGUACACUUCAGCCGUGAUACUUUCAUUCAAAGGCUAGCUUUAUACUAAUAUGUGAUACUUUCAUUCCAUAUUUGAGAGCCAUUGGAUAAGUAUAAAGCUAACCUUUACAAUAUGAGCUAGUUAGUUAGCCUUCACACACACAGUGCCUGCCUAUCAUGUAACCAUUGACAAUGAUACCCGACAAUUUAUUUGGAGAGAGGGUCCUCACUCAUUUAUUUGGACCUAUAACUUCAUUUCAUAAUAACUCCAUCACAUCAUUUUAUGUACCAUAGUUUAUUCAAUUUCAAAAAUUAGUACACGCAAUAACAUGUUUUAUCGUAAAAUAUACGAGGUUUUUUAGUAUAUUAGAAAUACGAGAUGAUGCACCACAUGUCAUUAUAUAAAUGAAGAGAAAUUUUUUUUUUUUUUAAAUGUGCCUCCACUUAUAUAAUGUAUUGUACCACCCAAAUUCUGAAUAAGUGAAAGAUCUCUCCAAAAAAUACAUAUGCAUGUUUUAUUCAAAAGGUAAGGAAUGAUGCGUCAUCAUCCCUAACACACUUUAUUAUAGUAGUAGCAUCAAUUGAGGCAGAGAAGUUAAUUAGAUGCUGUCCUUAAUGGAUGCACUAUAACCGUUGUCAUAGAACCUGCUCCAAAGCAUAACUCCUCCGUACUUGGGCGAAUUCUUAAUCGUUGGAAGAACUUGUGACUUGAGAGCGUCAGCAGGAAUAAAUCCGCCGCUUGGAGCGGCCUCAGGAGCUGCCGGUAACCCCAUGAACACCUGGGUGGCCGGAACCGAGGCCCAUUGGUUCCAACUGCUUAAAAGAGCGUCGGCAUUACCGUCUGCAUACUGGCAUGGGGGGUUGUUGUAGAACUGAACCCAAACGUAGUCAAAUAAACCGGUUUGGAUAGCGGCGUCCAGGUGAGCAUCCGGGAUCGGACAUUGUGGAGCUGCGGCUAAAUAGACCGUUUUUGCCUGUGCGUUGUGUCCGUUGAGUGACCUGGCGAGCUCAUCAUAGAACUGCGCACCACCCGCCUCAAUGUCGAAAUCAACGCCGUCCAAAACCGCGUCCCCAAGCGGGCGCGAAGCGGACUGACCACCUAAGAAGUUGUUCCAGAUGUAAUCAGCAACUUGCCUUGCAUCAUCAGCUGAAGUGAGAGAGUAACUUCCGGCGCCCCCUCCAAUCGAGAGGAGGACUUUUAUGUUUUUUGAUUGGCAGGUUCUGAUGUCAGCACUCAGCCCCGUGCAAGUACCACUAGGGGGGUCGCAGUGGCCGGCGAGGUUUAGGACAGGGGUUUGGUUGUUUCCGAAAGUAGUGAGGAAAGCUAUGUUAACAAACUGGUAGUUGCCUGAGUUGCAAGCAUCUGCUAGGGUUCCUUCGUUGCCGUUUUGGCCCCAAUAGAUCGCAAUUCCGGCGGCUUGGGAGGACUUGCAUGAAGAAAUGAGGAUCAAGAGGGACAGAGUUAGGGUUAGGGUUUGUGUUUUGGAUGCCAUUUUUGUAUGUGUUUUUUUGGGUUGUUGCUCAAAGUGCUUGGGAGGGGACAUGUACUUAUAGGUGGAGACUUACUGGUUAAGGUUUAGGGGAAGAAAAAUAUGACACACGAGUUCUGCUUGUAAGAAAUGGAUGCCAGUCUUCUGCUUGUCAAUCAAGUUAGCUAGGGCCUGUUUGGUCGAAGUUUCACAUGAAACGUCGAUUAAGUUAGGUCGGGUUGGAAAUGCUUUCUUCAAAAACCACUUACACACGUAAGCUCUUCUUAUAUUUUUCAUAAUAAUGCAAGUGCUUUUGGAAAAAACACGAGAGGUGUUUCGCAUGUGUUUUUUUCAAAAAGCACUUCAAAUAUUUUUUCUACCUAAAAAUCCAUUAAAGCUCCUUUACUUGUUUUAAAGAAACUUCCAAAAUAAUAUUUAAAGAAAAAUUACUUCUAGAGAGAAUUAUAACAUGCUAAUUGAGAGAUCCCGAAACUAGAAACUAGAUGGUUAUAGUGAAGCGUGACCUUAACUGCUUAAUUAGGUGAAAAAAGCCAUCAAAUUUGACAAAAAGUCUGAUGAAAGGUCAUAGCUGUAUGCAUAAUCCGUAGAUGAGAUAAUCAUGAAACAAUACGUGGGGAAUCAACACAGCCUUAUCAUCGUCAAAAAAUUUUAGUGUUCUAGAAACACGAUCUGAUAUACAAAAUGUUUUAACAUCAAUUGAACGUUUUGGAAAUUUGUGGAUAGAAACCAAAUGGAAUAUGCUUGCUAGCUGCUAUAUACAUCUUGGAUUUUAGCUGAGGUGGCCAUUGGCCAAGGACUGCGAUCUAAUCACGAUGCUUUAAUUUCGCAGUACGAAAAAAAUUUCAGAUAAAAUUUAGAACAUGUUUAGGGAGUGCUUUCAAAUCACUGAAAGCGAUUUUAGAAAGAAAAAAAAUGUUUAUACAACUAAUUUUUAAUAAAAAUGCAAGUUAAUUCUCUAAAAGUAUUGAAAUUAGUGCUUCUUUGAUGAAUUACUUUAAGUGCUUUUGGAGCUCAAAAAUAUUUUCUCAAGUGGUUUCAGUUAUUUAAAAACACUUUCUAAACGAGUUAAUGACUCGUGUAUGGCAACAUUUAGCAAGUAAUAGCUCUCAUGAAUUGGAUUGUGGUGAUGUGAAAAUGGGUUUGGGUAAGUUUAGUUUAGAUCAGUCACCAGUGUAUAAAAUAUCCAUGAAAUUGUCGAUAUUUUCAUCAAAAUAUCCUUAAAAUUUAGGGUCCAUAAGGAAAAGAAGGGUAAAAUAUAAAUUUCAACCUAUAUUGGCGAGAUAUAAGAAAACAAUGAAUAUCGACAAUAUUUACCAAUUAACUACAAAAUGUUGCUAAAACCUAUUGCAGAUUUUGAACUUUAGAAUUUUUUUUUUAUAAAUUUUUUCUUUAAUUUCGACUAAAUCUGAAUGAGUUGAUACUUGAUAUGCUUAUCCCAUUGUAAAUUUCCAUCAAAGACUUUCCAACUAAAUCGAUAUUUUAAACAUUGGUUUAGACCCACAUGUUUAAUAUCCAGUGCAUGCAAAUAGAAUGUCAAAUCUUUCAGAAAAACUUCAGUAGGACUGCCACUUAAGGGCAACUAGCAUAUUAAAGAGACCAAUGCAAGGUUGGAUGAGACUAAAAUACAUAAGAGCAAUUCCACCGGGGACCAAAUGUCCCAGCCUCCAGUCCAAAAACCAAGCCAGGCCUCUGUCAAUCAAGUCCACCCCAACAAACUGACUGGUACCCAGCCCGAGUUGGGCAAGAGCCCAGCCCAAAAGAGACUGAGACAGAAGCCGGGGAAGAAGCCUGGCGCGUGCACUUCACGUAGCCGUUUGGCGAGUGCCCGACAAGCUUUCAGACGCCGGGGCCCGCGUGCAGGCGCUGUCAGUCCCCCCCCCGAGUUGCGACGUGGCUACCUCUCUGCCGUUGGAUUUCCAACGGCUAGUUUUCUAGACCGUUGGAUUUCCAACGGUAAAAAAAUUUUAAAUUUUACUUUUAAACUAGACCGUCGGAUCAAAGAUCAACGGUCCACGUUUUUUUCACAAAAAGUAAAUUAAAAAAAAAAAAAAAGGGCCCAACGGUCAGAAAUAUGACCGUUGGCCACGUGGCAACUCCCUAGCUCUUGGAUUUGAAUAUUUUUCAAAUCCAACGGUCCAGAUUAAUUAACUAUAUUAAAAUUCAUUAAAAAUUAUUAAAAAAUACAGAAAAAUUAUUAAAAAAUACAGAAAAUUUUAAAAAAAUUACAGAAAAUUUUGAAAAAUGUUAAUUUUUUUUCCUAUAAAUACCUAACCCUCAUCUUCUACCUUUACACCACAUUCCAAUAUUUUCUACACUUUCUAUACUAUCUACAUUUCAAAAUAUUUUCUACACUUUAAGAGAAAAAAAAUGUCUUCGUGGAAGCUCAUUGAAGAUGUUACGUUGUGUGAAUGUUGGGUUCACACUACUCAUGAUCCGAUUACGGGUAAUGAGAUGGAUAAGCGAGAGAUGUGGAGUAAAAUUACGAAAGCGUUUUGUGAUGUACAUGGAGAAAACGCCAGAACUAGUCAAGGUCUUCAAGGUCGUUGGAAAAAACUCAAUGCAUCAUUUACUUGUUGGAAAAACGCCAUCUCUCAUGCUUCCGGUAACCUCCGUAGUGGGACAAGUUUAGCGGAUCAGGUGACAAUAUUUUUUAUUUAUUUAUAUGCAUUCCACUCACAUUAAUAUUUUGAUUUAUUUAAUUUCGUAUGUAAUUUUUAUCUUAUUUCUUAUGUAAUUUUUAUUUAAUUUCUUAUGUAAUUUUUAUUUAAUUUCUUAUGUCAUUUUUAUGUAAUUUAUAUGCAUUCCACCCGUAUUAAUAUUUUGAAUUUAUUUAUUUGUGUUACACCCGCAUUUUUUAACACUAUGUUAUCCCACUUUUUUAUAGACACUACAAGCUCAAGCAUUCUACAAUUCAAAGAACGGGAACAAAUCAUUCAAUAGAUUGGAAUGUUGGCAAAUUGUCAAAGAUUGCCCUAAAUACAAAAUUGUGGCAACUGGUCCAGAAGUUGUCAUGCACGGUAUGGGUCUACAUAGUUCUCCAGAACCAGACAUGGCCGAACAAGAAGCCGACACAUUUCAAGACACGGAAGGGACGGCUGAACAAGUGCCCGAGACCCAACCGACUCGUCAGUCCCUAAGGCCUCUAGGUAAAAAGGCGUCAAAGAAAAAAGGUAGUUCUUCCAAAAAAUGACUACACUAAAUAUAUGGAGGAACUUGCUCGCCAAGGUGAACUAAACUUGGCACGAGAAAAGGCUAGAGAUGAGGAAAAAGUUGCUGCUAUGGCAGCAAUAUUAGCAGCUACUGAGGCCCGUGAUGCGGCGGCUGAAAGACAAAGAGAAGUAGUUAAUCGAGAGAACGAGCUGGUUAGAGAAGCACUUCAUCGAGAAAAUGAAUUGCUUCGAGAAGAAAGGAUGGCUCAAGCAUCGUGAUCGUGACACUAUGAGCAAGUCUCUAGUAGGACUGUCUCCGAAUUCUAAAUAUUUUUUAGACAUCGGAAAAAGAGAUGCCAUGCGUAGGAGGCGUGCAAGAGAUGCGGAAACAAGUCAAGGGGGUUCUAGCUACACAAAUCAUGGCAACCAAGAUCCUAGCACCACAUAUCCUAACUCGAGAGACUUUAUUUAAUUUCUUAUGUAUUUUUAUGUAUUUUCUUUCUUUUUUCUAGUAGAACUUUAUUUAAUUUCUUAUGUUUUUUCUUUUUUUUAGGUUUGAACUUUAUUUAUUUUCUUAUGCAAUUUUAAUGUAAUUAUUUAUUUAAUUUCUUUUGUACUUUAUUUAAAACACAUGAAAUAAGAUUACACAUAAACUCACCAAAUAAAUUUAAAAACAAAACACAUUACAUAGAAUUACAUAAACUCACCAAAUAAACUUAAAAACAAAACACACUACAUAGAAUUACAUAAACUCACCAAAUAAACUUAAAAACAAAACACACUACAUAGAAUUACUUAAACUUAAAAAAAAAUACAAUUUAUUCUUCAACCACAAGCCUCAUUCUAAUUAUCUUCGCCUCCAUGCAAUCCCCACUGGUGCUCAAUCAAGUCAUUCUGGCGGGUUACGUGCCAGUAUGGCUCUUGCACAUUAGUGUACCGCUGAACGAUCAAUUCAUUGUAACGUCCAUCACGUUCCAACGGCUCGUGUUGCACUGGAUCUUCGGUCCCAUCAUGAGCACAAUAAAUACGUGUUCUUGAGUUGUUCAUCGGAUCUGGCUCAUAUUCAUCGACGGCAUCAUAAUCAUACUCAUCUUCAACAAUCAUGUUAUGGAGAAUAAUACACGUCAUCAUGAUGGAUCGAAGAGCCUCGACAUCAAACAUUCUAGCUGCAGCCCUGACAAUCGCCCAACGAGCUUGCAGGAUACCAAAACAACGCUCGACAUCCUUCCUACACCCUUCUUGACAUUUUGCAAAGUGUUUUUCCUUUUCAGUCUGUGGAUGUGGCACUGUUUUGACAAAUGUUGACCACCUUGGGUAAAUGCCAUCUGCAAGGUAGUAUGAUCCCUCGUAUUGGGUACCAUUAACCCAAUAUGUGCAUCUCGGCGAGUUUCCUUGCAGCAGUUCGUCGAACACUGGGGAUUGGGCAAGGACAUUUAGGUCAUUUUGAGCUCCUGGAACACCAAAAAAAGCAUGCCAAAUCCAUGUAUCAAAUGAAGCCACCGCUUCCAAAAUGAUGCUUUUGGCUCCUUUUCUGUCGCCAUAUGCUCCUUGCCACGCACUUGGACAGUUUUUUCCAAGUCCAGUGCAUGCAGUCGAUGCUUCCAAUCAUGCCAGGGAAGCCUCGCAUCUCACCCUUCCUCAGAAGCCUUCGCAUGUCCCUUGACGUGGGUGUCCGGAGGUACUCUUUGGUGUAGAGGGCUUCAAUUGCAGAGCAAAACCGCAUCAGGGACUCCAGAACAGUUGUUUUUCCCAUCCUCGCGAUCUCAUCCACUUGAUCUGCAGAUGCUCCAUAUGCAAGCAUUCGCAAGGAUGCCGUAAUUUUUUGCUCGGGAAUAAGACCUAGAACAUGAAAAGCAUCCUCUUUUUGCACAAAGUAUGAAUCAUUGUUGCAAAUAUCACUCAUGAUUUUGUUGAACAAAUGUCGUUGCAUUCUAAAACGCCGUCUAAACAUGAUCAGGGAAUAUGCUAUUGGGAAUAAAAUAGUCUUCCAAUAGAUUUUUACCUCGUUUUUCCCUUUUUCUAUCGAGGUUUGCAACACGUCUUGGUUUGGCUAUCUGACCCACGGCUUCCAUGACACGGCGGGAAUGUGAGGCCUUCUGCCUUCUAUGGUGAUCAUCCUCAUCCUCCUCCAUGAAGAAAGCCUCAUCUCCACCUCCACCUUCCUCGAGAUUGGCCAAUUCUGCCUGUUGUGCCAACAACCUUUGUUGUUGCUCUUGCAACUGCUUAUACACCCUUCUUGAAGAAGACAUUGUAAUAAGAACUCAAGAUUUGAAAAUGAUGAACAAGGAUUCUGAGCUAAAAAGAAGGAUUGAGCUUGGUGUGAGGAUGGAUGUAGGGAUGUAGGGUUUAUAUGGACAAAAAAAGAAAGGAUGAGGUUCUGGACAAUGCCACGUGGCACUACGUGAUUGGUUGAAAAUCUUAUCGAAAUCUUGGCUAAAUUAUUGUAAACCGGAAGUGACACGUGGCGUGUCAGGAUUGGUCGAGAAUAUUAUCGAAAAUCUAUCCACAAAAUAGUACGUUCGGAUAAUGACACGUGGCAUGACGUGAUUGGUUGAAAAUCUUAUCGAAAUCUUGGCUAAAUUAUUGUACCAUGGAAGUGACACGUGGCGUGUCGGGAUUGGUUGAAAAUAAUAUCGGAAAUCUAUUCACAAAAUAGUACGUUCAGAUAAUGACACGUGGCGUGACGAGAUUGGUUAAAAAUCCUAUCCGAAAUUAAAACUAUUUUAUUUUUUUAUUCUUUAUUUUAAAUGGGUUAAAAAUCUUAUCCGAAAUAAACUUAAAAAAAAAACACACCAAAUAAAUGCGCUGGGUGCUAGCGCAUUUUUUUAGGGGUGGAGAUGCCUUGGCCUAUUACUGUUCACUCCAGUCUAUUACUGUUCAUUUGAGUGGAUAAAUGCGCUGGGUGCUGGCGCAAAGUCCACAGGGGUGGAAUUGCUCUAAAGUCUCGUGUUUUGAUGAGAUGUGGUCUACAAAUGAUAUAGCAUGUGCCCUACGAAAAAUGAGAUCGGAUUACCUAUUUGAAGCUUCUCUAGUAUGAAAAAUUCAAGAGGGAUGUGACGGGUCCGGAAAAUAAAAAAUCACACAUUUUUAUUAAUAAUUUUUUUGUUCGAAUUCGGAAAUGUAUAGAACUGAACAAAUGGAAUAGUAGCUCAGUGAUACCAACAAUUUCAUGUUGCAAAUCACAAAACAAAAAAAAAGGAACUGUUUUACACAAAAUUAAUGACAAUUAGAGUUGAACAACAGAAGCUUGCACUUUAAACGGUUUUUUUCUGCUGCUUUUGGUAUGUAUAUGCUUUUUCCAUGUCUCGAUGUAGUGCCAGUUCACAGGUCAUCAUCCUGGAACAAUGCUUUCGAAACAGAGCCGCACGGCUGGCUACUGUAUUCUCGGUAAUCUUCAUCGUCAUCCCAGCUGCGUUGCGAGCAUGAACGUUUGAUUCCUGUCAUUGGGGUUUCACAUACUCUGUCAUCACAUGAACCUCUAUGAUCCUUCCUUUUAAACAGCUUUCGAAGCGGAUUUAACUUUGGUUUCAAUGGUUUCAGCUGUUUUGGGGCCCAAACUCUCUGCAGAUCGGGCAUCCAUCUUGUGGAUGAAGCGAAUCUCCAAGCCCUCUCUCUCCUCUCUUGAGCUUCAAGUAACUUGCGAGCAUGGUCGUCGUUUUGUUUGAUCUCUUCAGCGCUCGGUCUUCCAAUAUCAGUUUUCAGCGGACGAAGAGACUCACCUUCUGCUGAUAAUGAGUCCCAGAUUCUAUAACUUUCAUCCACUUCGACACUCUUUGGUUUUUCUUUACAGGAUUGAUUGCUAUCCUCACUGUUGAGUAAACUAAUAGGGAGUUCUUCCUCAUCGGCAAACAGUAGCAAAUCCAUUUUUGUAUAGAUUUUGUGAACCACAUCUUCAAGUGUCUCACAGUACCUGAAAAUGUCCAAAUUCAAAGAUUAAUCUACCUGCUUAAUUCUCCAUCUCAAACAAAAAUUGAUCACCUGCAUUUGUACAUCAGGAAACUAAAUGCAGGAAUGAAUUAUUUAAGCUCCAUCAUUUCAAGGAUCAUACCGUAGGCUAAUAUGCUAUUGCAGAAGUUGUAUAAACAUAUUCCUCACUCGUUCAGAAAAACAUGCCUACGAUGUGCGGAUAACUGGCUUAUACCCUGUAAAUCUACACUAAUAAGGAAACACACUUAACUCAUCUAAGAUUAUAAAGAUAAUCACUUUCCUUUUUUAGCAUUAUUGCAAAGGUAAGUAGGAGAGCAUUGGAUGGGCAGUAAUAUCCCACAGGAAAGUGGAAACAGUGGCACCGGAAAUGUGUAUUUGAUGAGACAUGAACGGUAGACUGAAUGAGUGUCGAGAAAGCCAUAACGACUCGGUAAAACAUCCAUUAUAUAAAGUAAAGAAUAAUGCGAAAGGCAGGGGUUUUCAACUCUGGUACAGAUUUAUUACCUGCUUUUUAUGAUCCUUUCAACAUAAUCAUCUACACUCCAGUCACCAAAGAAGCCCUCCAGAUGACAUCGAAUUUUCUCCAAAAACGAGCAAAUCUGUUUUACAAACUUCUGUUUCAUAGAUUCUGCAAUACUUGCACCAACCUCUGAUUGUAGUAUCUCCAUACGGAAAAAUAUCUGCAAUUCAUAUCUAGUACUAGGUGAAGGAAAAGUGUAAAUGUAAUUGGAGACAAAUUUUCAUAUUGGUAGAGUUAUAACUGGAUUAAUGCAUAAUACAGAAGACAGUUCAGUUAUAAAUGAGAAAGGAUACUCUCGAACUAUUUUUCCAGAAGUCAGUCCUUCAGAUUCUGAAUCGGAUGCUUUAACAAACGGGCCGGAGCUUUUCUGCCUUGCAGUGAUAUCCUUGGGAUCUCUCAGUAGAAGUUUUAACACCUCAGCAGAAACCAAAUCAUCAGUAGCACCAGAUUUUACAAGGGAAGUUUGACUCUCUGAAAGGGCUUCUGUUUCCUGCUUUUUAUUUAACCAAUAUAUGGAUGAAUUCACAAGCCGAUAUGCCAAUGCCCCCAAGUCUACUGCUUCAUAUUCAAGCCCCUGUUGUAUCUUGUUGGAUAGACUACUGAAAAAAUCUUCCGACGUUUCUGAUCUAAAUUCCAAAGCAGCUUCAUCUUGUAUGCCAGAAGCCACAGUCAAAGAAUUUUCUCCAAUGGAAGGAGAUGAAGAAAUUGGCUGUUCACUUUCAUGGUGCAAGUUAUCCAACCUAUUGUCCAUCCCUUUUCUAUUGAGCUGGUCUGCCUGGGAUUCUUUCUCCACUAUUAGACCACGAUCGCUAGACUUCUUAAUUUGUUUCAUCCAGCAUUUCAGAAAUCGUAUCUUUUUUGAGUUAUAACAUUCCCUGGCAAAGUAAACCUCUUCCAAACCUAUCUCUGAGUGUUCAAAUGCUGCCUUGUAGAAGGCACUCCAUGUGAGAUCUUGUAGCAACUGUGAAUUUCUUUUGUUAUUUCUCUUCCUUCCCUCCUUGCCUGCAGAAUGCUUAUUGGAUGGCCCAGUUUGGUCCAAAUCAGCAUUCGGUUCGCAAAUCCCAUUCUUCAUAUUUCGACUUGAUUGGUCUGCUUUUGCUCCACCAAUAUCAUGCACUUUUGUCUGAGGGUGAAAUCCUUCAUCCACAAUAAACAGCCGAGCCGAAGAAACUGUGAAAGGUUUGAGAAUUCCGGUAGACGAUACACCACUGUCACUUGAAAGAGACACUAAUGCUCCAUGACCAUUCCUAUAUAAGAAACUCAAGAGAAUCUGCCAAAUGGGUGCUGACUUUCUCUUUGCAUUCUCACCCAAGUCCACUGCUACCACUUCUAGAACCUUAUCUGCAUAAUAAUUGCCAGAACUUUCUUUUCCAUCUUCACCAGGUUUUCCCAAAACAUCACAGACAAGGACUGGAUCAGAUAAGUGCCCCUUGAAUUUCAGAAACUCAUUGUACUUUUGCAAAGCCUUAACCUGGAACUUUGUCACGCCUUUGACAAAAUACCCCCAGAACAAUUCCUUCAGUUUACCACCCUUUGUUUGUGAAUUCAUGAUUUCUAGGGAAAAGAAAGCAUCAUCAGCUGCAUUUCUAGGCAACUUCUUCAAAUCAACCAAUUGAAGAUCACAAACCUUGCAUUCCAAAGGCUUCCCACUUACAUCUAAGAUCUCGAGACUCAACUGCGCAUUGACUUUCUUAUGACUAUCAUCACAACCGAAAAACUUGGAUGAAAUCCCUAUCUCGGGAUAAAUCAAACCAAAGGAAACAAGAGCAGAGCCAAGAAUAAUCCAACCAGUCGAGCAAAAUCCCCAUCCCAAACUCCUAACCCCACUCUCGAAAAACCCAAAUCUCGUCUUAUCCUCAUCGUUCCCAACCUUACCCUCACCACAUUCUAAUUCAUACCUGACAUCAACCCAGCUACACUGAAUAUCUCUACUCACAAAUGCUUCAUUCACAUUCUCAAAGAAACCCCUAAAUCUCUCGGAAAACGCUUUCACAUUUUCCAAAGACUCGUCACCCACACCCACUGUUAGGUCACAACUUCUAAAUUCCCUUUCUCGACCUGCUAGUAGCUGAUAGUAAUGGCGGUGAGUGAGUGGGAAGGAAGAUAGAGAGAGAUAGAAAGUUUCUUGUAAUAUUGUUUUUCUAAUUCAAUCCUGCAGAACAAUGCCACAAUUUGGUUCUUAUACAACCAUCCUUCUCACAAUGCCAGCUGGCUACUAACAAUAACGACAUGUAGCUAAAUAGUUUUCCACUAUUAUUCUAACCACUAUUAUAAUCAUAACACUACCCCUCCCUUACAAAAUAAACCUUGUCCUCAAGGUUAGAAUUAAAGACUGAAAUCAGGAAAUCUGGCAGCAAACUCGUCAUAAUCCUCCCAUGUAGUUUCGUCCUCUUUGUUGUUCUUCCACUGGAUUAACAACUGAACUCCAGCAGCUUGGCCCUUCUUGUAGACCCUCAUUUGUAGCACCUUGAGUGGUUCGAGUGGUAGCAACCCAUCAUCAGUGACAGUAGGCAAGAAUGGAGUUAUGUGACCUUGUCUCCCAAGUGCUUCUUCAAGCAACUAACAUGAAAGACUGGAUGAAUUUUUGAAUUCUCAGGCAGUUUCAAUCGGUAGGCAACCUUCCCAAUAUUUUCCAAAACCUCAUAAGGACCAUAGUACCGGGGAUGAAGCUUAUGGUAAGCAUGAGAUGACAAAGAUUGCAAUUGAUAGGGAAUUAAUUUCAAAUACACCAAAUCUCCUUCCUCGAAAACCCUCUCACUCCGAUGCUUAUCUGCUUGUGUUUUCAUCCGGUUCUGAGCUACUAGUAAAUUGGUCCUGAGCAUUGCUAAUAUUUUGUCCCUAGUUAGCAGCCCUUGCUCCACUAUAUCCAACUUAGCAGUGCCAAGCUCAUAAGACGCGAUGUGUGGUGGUGGAUAACCAUAGACCACUUCGAAGGGGGUGAACUUUGAGGAAGUGUGGUAGGAAGUGUUAUAGCUCCAUUCUGCCCAUGGAAGCCAGUGGAGCCACUUCUUAGGUUGACAGCUAGUGAAGCAUCGCAAGUAAGUUUCAAGGCACCGAUUCACCACCUCUGUCUGGCCAUCACUCUGUGGAUGGUAACCCGAGCUCAUACACAACUUGGAGCCUUGCAACUUAAAAAAAUUCUUUCCAAAAAACACUCAUGAAAAUGGUGUCCCUGUCACUCACAAUGGUAGAGGGCAUCCCAUGGAGUUUAAACACAUUAUCAACAUAUUCCUGAGCUACCAUGCUUGCCGUAUACGGAUGUGCUAAGGGGAUGAAAUGAGCAUACUUGGACAGCCUGUCUACGAUUACCAGGAUCACUGAUUUGCCUUUGCACAGAGGUAAACCAGUGAUGAAAUCCAUGCUUAUAUCCUUCCAUACAUGUGUAGGGAUCGGCAGAGGUUGAAGUAAUCCGGGAGGGGAAAUGGUUUCAUACUUAUUUUGCUGGCAUUCCCGACAUUCAGCCACCCAUGACCUGAGAUCUUUCUUCAUUCCUACCCAAUAGAAGCCCCUCUUCAAUAUCUGAUAAGUCUUUAGAACCCCUUUCAUGGCCUGCACUUGGAGAAGAGUGAUGUUCCUCAAAGACCUUCCUUUUCCAACUUGAAUCUGGGCUAAGCACGAUCCGUCCUUUGUAUUUGAGGAAACCGUUGUCUAAAUGGUACUUGGACAGAUUGGGGUCAAUUGCAGCAGCUUAAGAAUAUGCUAACACCUUCUGCACCUUGCUUUGAAUCCAACUAUCUUGUUCUAACCCUCUCCGAAGUUCAUCUAGCCACCCGAAGUAGGGGUAUGUGAUAGCUUUGCACUCCAAUAAGUCACUGAGAGGUUUCUCUUGUAAUUGAGACGAACCAACUACUCGAGAUAAGGCAUCAGCCAUUAUGUUGUCAUUGCCUUGCCUAUAUUGUAUCUCAUAAUCAAAUCCCAACAACUUGGCCACCCAUUUCUGUUGGAACGGGGUAGUAGUUCUUUGACUCAGAAAGUAUUUCAAGCUGCUAUGAUCUGUCUUUAUGAUGAAAUGGCGCCCUUGAAGGUAGUUUUGCCAUUUUUUGAUAGCACUAACAAUGGCAAUCAACUCUCUUUCGUAUGUAGACAAUGCUUAAUUCCGUGGUCCCAAUGCUUGACUUGUGAAAGCUAUAGGUCUGCCAUUCUGUUGCAACACAGCCCCUAUUCCAUUGCCAGAUGCAUCACAUUCCAAAGUGAAGGGAAUAGCAAAAUUGGGUAAGGCUAAUAGCUGCGGAGAAGUCAUUGUUCUUUUUAAUGCUUGGAAAGCUGCCGUGGCUUCAGGGGACCAAUUGAAACCAUCAUUUUUUGUUAGUUGAUACAAGGGUUGACACACCUUGCCAUAACCGGGGAUGAAUUUUCUAUAAUACCCUGAGAGCCCGAGAAAUCCCCUCAACUCUUUGACAUUUUUCGGUAUCGGCCAAUCUAUAAUUGCUUGAAUUUUAGUAGGAUCUGCAGCCACCCCAUCACGAGAGACGAUGUGCCCCAAGUAUUCCACCUGUGAUUGGCCAAAAGAGCAUUUCGAUUUCUUCACUGCUAAUUGGUGUUUCUGUAAUAACUCCAAAGUUUGGUGCAAGUGUGAAAGAUGGUCCUCCCAGGUCUUGCUGUACACCAAAAUGUCGUCAAAGAACACCAAGAUGAAUUUCCGGAGGUAAGGCUUAAAAAUGUCAUUCAUAAGGGCUUGGAAAGUGGCAGGAGCAUUUGUAAGACCAAAGGGCAUGACUAAGAAUUCAUAAUGCCCUUGGUGAGUUCGGAAGGCAGUCUUUUCCACAUCGGAGGGACAUACGGAUCUGAUGAUAUCCAGACCUAAGAUCAAGCUUAGAAAAAUACUGAGCGCCAUGCAAUUCAUCUAACAAAUCAUCCACUAAUGGAAUAGGAUAUUUAUCCUUAAUGGUAAUGCUGUUCAAUUCACGAUAGUCCAUGCAAAGCCUCCAAGUGCCCUCCUUCUUCUUGACCAAGAGAACUGGAAAUGAAAAGGGACUAUGACUUGGCUGGAUGAAUCCAGCAUCUAAAAGUUCUUGCACAGCUCGUUCAAUCUCAGUUUUUUGCAUAGGACCAUAAUGGUAUGGUCUAAUACUCGGAGGCUUGGAACCAGGAAGCAAUGGAAUCUGGUGAUCAUGAGCCCGUGGAGGUGGUAAGGUAGUAGGAGGCUUAAAAACCGUUUCAAAUUGCCUGAGCAUACCCUGCAGCUCAAUGAGUUGCUGGGGAUUCAAGUUGGAUGCCUCCAACGGAUUAGUUUCCAUUGAAUACAAUAAGACGCCCCAAUUAGAGUAUUUAAACUCUUUUUCAAGCUGUUGACAAACAGUAUCCUGUACCAAGUACGCUGGAGCAGUGGAAUGAACAAGUUUAUAGUGGUCUUUUCCCACAGAAAAUUCCAUGGUUAAGUUGUGAAAAUCCCACAAAACUGGACUCACAGAUGAGAGCCAUUUCACACCCAAUACAACAUCGCAACCCCCUAGAGGAAGUGCGUAGAGGUUAGUGUGGCAGCGAUAUGCACCCAAUUCCAAGGGAAUUUGUUGGCAACAGCCUUGACUUCGGACUUUACCCCCAUCGGCAAUCAUGACAUCGAAGGGUUUGGUGGUGUGACAAGGCCACCCGAGCUGCUUAAGCAACCUAGAAUCCACAAAAUUGUGGGUGCUACCAGAGUCAAGUAGUAUGGUAACAGGUAGAGUGUGAAGCACACCAGCCACUUUCAUGGUUUGUACCGUGGAGGGCUCAGUAGUGCCAUAGAACGCACAAGCACUCAACUCCAUGCUUGAUAGGGAAAGAUCAAUAGGCUCCAGUAAUUCACACUCUGUAGGUUCCAGCAAUUCACACUCGGUAGGCUCCAACUCAUUACAAACAUCAAGCAUAAGGAGCUGUUUAUUAUGGACACAUUUGUGCCCUCGAACCCACUUUUCAUUACAGAACCAACACUCGCCCUUGUCCUUCUUCCGUUGAACUUCCUCGGGGGUAAGUUUCUUAUAAGGGAGGGUUUGAGGAUGAGGCCUGGUAAGGGAAGGUAGAGGUAAGGCGAGAGGAGGUUUGAGUGGGGGAUGAGGUUUUGGGGGAGAUGGUUUCAAGUCCGUGAGUUUAGCAUUUAAUUGGGCAGCAAAGGAAAUGGCCUCAUGAACUGAGGAAGGGCGAAGCAAUUUAACAUCGUAACGCAAUUCCUUCUUGAGACCCCCCAGAAAGCAACUCUUUAAGAGAAUAGGACCAACAUCAUAGGUUCGAGUGGCAAGGCGCCGAAAUUCCACAAUAUAAUCACGAAGAGGGCCGGUUUGGCGGAGUUUGAAUAGCGACUCAGUGCAGUCCUCAAACUCCGGUGGACCAAAUUCCUGGCACAAAGCAGUCGUGAAUUCACCCCAGGUGGGAGUGGAAUGUACACAAUCGCGCCAACGAAACCAGUACAGCGGCUCAUUCUUGAAGUGGAAGGAGGCGGUCAAAACCUUCUGAUUCUCCGGAGUGUGAUAAUAAGCAAAAUAUUGUUCGGCCUUAUAGAUCCACGCUGAGGGAUCAUCACCGUCGGAGAAACGGGGAAAAUCCAGACGAUGUGACCGCUGCGGGCGAGGAGUAAAACCGCCGCCUUCAAAAGAAUCACGGCGCUGAAACCGUGGAGUGUCGAGACAACGAAAAUCGCCAUCAUCGGUCACAAUGGGAGGAGGAAUAUGUGGAUCUGGCACUAGAGGUGGUGGUGCAGUCGAAGAGCCAGCACCGCCUUGAGGACCAGGGUCGCGAUGGAGAUGCUCCAGGAGAAGGGCGAAUUUGGUUUCGAGAGCGGUGAAGCGGGUGUCGGAAUUGGCGUUGGAAGUCUGGAUCAGCUGAGGAAUGGCUCCCAUGGCUUCCAGAGUAGCUUCCACGGCGGAGAGGCGCGAUUCAACAGUGGACAUUCGAGAAUUUGUGGUGUGGCGGGGCAUACAAGAGGGAGACUCAGGAUCGAGAGGCUGAUACCAAUUGUUAGGUCAAAACUUCUAAAUUCCCUUUCUCGACCUGCUAGUAGCUGAUAGUAAUGGCGGUGAGUGAGUGGGAAGGAAAAUAGAGAGAGAUAGAAAGUUUCUUGUAAUAUUGUUUUUCUAAUUCAAUCCUGCAGAACAAUGCCACAAUUUGGUUCUUAUACAACCAUCCUUCUCACAAUGCCAGCUGGCUACUAACAAUAACGACAUGUAGCUAAAUAGUUUUCCACUAUUAUUCUAACCACUAUUAUAAUCAUAACACCCACAUUCGGGAAUUCUGUCAAACAGUUUGCAGACACACAGACGGGCGAAAACAGAACUACCAAAUUAGACCUCACAGCAACCGAAUCACUAUUCGAGAACAUACCCAUCAUUGGAUCGCAGAUCACGGGGUCCCAGGCGUAGUCGUGCACGAGCUGGCGCAAGGAGACGGCGAAAUGCGGGGAGGGAAUUGAGGGUGUGGAAGAGGGAAUUGAAAGUGGGGCCGGGGAGGUGGAAAGAGAGGGAGAGAGAAGUGGGGAGCUUGGAGGAGGAGAGCAGCGGAGAGAGGGAGGAGAAGAAGGGUCUGAAGGCGAAGAGAGAGGCGGAGAGAAGAAGGAAGGAGAGGAUGGUUUUGACGGCGGCGAGGAGGGCGGUGAGAAAUGGAGCUGGGUUUUGGAGGUGGAGGAAUGGGUUGAGGUCUAGGAGGAGGACGAUGCGCACAGUGCCUGCCUAUCAUGUAAAACCAUUGACAAUGAUACAAGACAGUUUAUUUGGACCUAUAAAACUAUAUUUAUGUAAAACUAUAUUUUAUUCAAUUUCAAAAAUUAGUACAUGCAAUGACAUGUUUGAUCGUAAAAAAAAAAAAAAUGAGAAAUUUUCAGUGUAUCAGAAAUACGAAUCGGUAAAAAAUCUCUCCAAAAAUACAUAUGCAUGUUUUAUUCAAAAGGAAAGGAAUGAGGCGCCAUCAUCCCUAACACACUUUAUUACAAGUAGUAUCAUCCAUUGAGGCAGAGAAGUUAAUUAGAUGCUGUCCUUAAUGGAUGCACUAUAACCGUUGUCAUAGAACCUGUUCCAAAGCAUAACUCCUCCGUACUUGGCCGAAUUCUUAAUUGUUGGAAGGACUUGUGACUUGAGAGCAUCAGCAGGAAUAAAUCCGCUGCGCGCGGCAUCAGUAGACGCCGGUAUCCCCAAGAACACCUGGGUGGCCGAAACCGAGGCCCAUCGGUUCCAACUGCUCAAAAGAGCGUCGGCAUUACCGUCUGCAUACUGGCAUUGGGCUAGGGGGUUGUUGUAGAACUGAACCCAAACGUAGUCAAAUAAACCGGUUGGAUAGCGCCGUCUAG